AAGAAGGUGACAGAAGGGCUAUGUGUCUGGCUUGAGUCCAGAAUAUGGGGGUUCGAUUCCUCCCUUUCUUG
rnacentral:tRNA from 1 species